GCCAGAGGAAAGGUAUUUCGCAGCCCCAUCAACUGUAGUUGAAUUUUUUGUGGUAAUCGCAGGAAGCAACGAAAAACUUAAGGUGUAUCAAACAAAGUCUUACAAUCUCAGAAGAAAACGAAAGUUUUACAAAGUGAGCAGGUGAGGAUUUGAUGAAUGAUGAGAAAUUGAACAAGUUUCACAUCCAGUUAAUUAUCAUAGAGAACAACUUCAUAAGACGAAGAUUUCAGUCCCUAACGUGAUCAAAUGAAACAACCUUGCAGUUUGUCAUCUUUACUAAAUCAUGACUUAUAACUUUGUUUUACUUUUUGUCUGUAUUAUUUUUGAAUGUUCUAGAUCCAAACUAACUACCGUUGUUUAUUUGCAAUAAGUUACAAGGAAAAAUGAAGUUUCUGGUAAUGAUGAUUGUCCAGUGAAAAUCAAAUUGGUUGCACUUCAUAAACUUGAGAAUGUUAAAGUUCAAAGUUUGAAUACUAAAUUAAUGGAGAUUGUUGGUAAGAUCUGCAAUCUUGUCCCUUUAAUUCUAGUUGAUUCUCUCUACUACAUACGUCAUCUUAGAUUGUCCUUGUGUACAAUCUACUAUGUGGUGAGCCUAGUUUCCUUGAUAGAGCUAUAUAUUUUAAUGCUUUAUGCAAUCACUAACAAAACAAACCAUACAUGUAGCAUUUUAAGAUAUGUAAAAAUGUUGAUGAUGC